rnacentral:lncRNA from 1 species
CCAGACCCGGUCCGCCACUGCCCGACCCGUUUUCCCCCAAAUUCGACAAUGAUGCCCCCAUAUACACGCAAUUCGCGCCUGCGAUUGCCCUGUGCCGGUGAUUCUGAACGAAUAUUCCGGCGUGAUGGUGGAGCGACGCCGCGAGGCGGUGGGGGAAAGGGAUUUUUUUAUGUAUCGGCGACUGCAACACUACAGCUCCGCCAUUACUUUUUCGUUCUCGUGCAUUUUUCG